rnacentral:tRNA from 1 species
GCGCCCGUAGCUCAGUGGAUUAGAGCGCGUGACUACGGAUCACGAAGUCGGGAGUUCGAAUCUUCCCGGGCGCGCCA